AAGAUGACACUUCGAGGCACCGUUUCUAUGGUUCAUCACUACAGAAGCUUCUCUGGACGUGUAAUGCACAGGAAACCAGGCAGAGGAGGCAUGGGGCACUCUCCGGAACAAGAAGCCAGCUCCUGGAGUUGCUUUGCUGCAACUGACAUUCCCCAUUGAGGACCAUUCUCUUCCUUCGGAAGAGGGAAAGUGAGAGAAUGAACUCUGAGUGGU
rnacentral:snoRNA from 1 species